CACCGUGCACGCGCAUAAACUCUGGGUAACCAGUUGGAGGUUGAUUAAACUAACUCUUCUCAGGUGUUUUGGAACCGACACACUCCUGGUGUGCCUGUUUGGGGUAAAGCAACCCAGAGGUUAUGAUUUACCAAAUGGGUCACAACCCUGUAGAACUCAUAAUAAUGGAAUCAGUGGAGAUCCAAAAUUGCUCUUCUGGAAAACAUCCAUGGAGUUCUGCAGACUCACAGUGAAACACCAGGAGGCUUCAGCAGCUUUCAGCUCCACACCAGCUGUAUCCUACAUCUCCAUGUGCUUCCACACAGAUCAUCCAAGUGUGCUCUGGGUGGGCGGGACUUACUGUCUCUCGUUUGUCAAUCAUAUUCAAGGCUUGUUUCAACGACUGACACAUAAAGAACUGCAAAGAAGCUGAAACUCUCUCUCUCUCUCUCUCUCUCUCUCUCUCUCUCUCUCUCUCUCUCUGUGUAUCUACUCUC